rnacentral:rRNA from 1 species
UACAGAGGUCUCAAGCGUUGUUCGGAUUCAUUGGGCGUAAAGGGUGCGUAGGCGGCGCGGUAAGUCGGGUGUGAAAUUUCGGAGCUUAACUCCGAAACUGCAUUCGAUACUACCGUGCUUGAGGACUGGAGAGGAGACUGGAAUUUACGGUGUAGCAGUGAAAUGCGUAGAGAUCGUAAGGAAGACCAGUGGCGAAGGCGGGUCUCUGGACAGUUCCUGACGCUGAGGCACGAAGGCCAGGGGAGCAAACGGG